GCCUGGGUGGCUCAGUCGGUUGAGCGUCUGACUUCGGCUCAGGUCAUGAUCUCACAGUUUGUGGGUUCAAGCCCCACAUCAGGCU
rnacentral:tRNA from 1 species